UUCUUUCCUAAAGUCUUGAUGGGCCUUCCCUU
rnacentral:piRNA from 1 species